UUUCACCGAAUGAACCUCCUAAGAGGCCAAAAUCCACUUUCACCGAAUGAACUAAAAACCAAAGACCAAAGACCAAAAUCCACUACCCAUACUUUCCAUAUUUUAAGUUAUUACAAUAUAUAAUCACAGAAAAUAUUAGAAGCUGUAAAUUAAUAUUCAGAUGAUCAACUUCAAAAACCUUGGCACAUAUUUGACAUUGAACGAAACUGGUUAGCAACUCUUGUUAGUAGUGAGAUAGGAAAUGGUGAAACCACUUUACUUUCGAAUGAAUUAUGGAAGGGUACCAACCAAUCAGUUUCUAUUUCCUGAACUGUACAUUACUUUGCAGAGAAUAGUGGCAAAUUUACAGCUGCAGAAACCUGUAUUGGAUGUUGAUAAAUGGUUGCCAGAGAGUGCAACAGAUUCUCGGUGAAAGGAUGUUAUGAAGAUCUGUGAUAUUUGCGUUUUUCCAAUGAUUUCAAGGAUGAAUUAUUGAAGGCAGUGCAGAGAUUAUGGUUCACAUCAUUGCCAAAAAAAAUGUGUUUGGUUUGGGACUCUUACAAGAUAGACUUCAUAACCGGCUCGAUUGUGAGGAUUCCCUAUGGACAUUCCUUGAUGUGAUCCCUCAAACUUUUGAUCUCAGUCAAAUGUUCGCAGUUCCGCUCAAUGACGCAUUGGCAGAAACAUCACAUCACCCGACCUUCAGCUUCAAUAUCCCUGGCACAAACAAAAUGUAUUGUUGUCUCUCGUGUUGUAUGAGUGACAUCCAUGGCACUCUUUGUCAGCUAUGGAGACCAUUGCAAAUAGGAAAUAAGAGUAGGAAAUGGAUGAAUACUGUUCUUUUGGUGGUCACAGAGUAUCGUUUGGGCACAAACAAAAUGUAUUGUUUGUCCUUGCAGCAUUUCAACCAGUAAAUUUUCUUUCGUCACAAUUUGUUCCCGAUAUUAUUCCUAUAAUUUAAUGUCAAGUUGUGCGUUC
rnacentral:lncRNA from 1 species